GAUGAACGCUGGCGGCGUGCCUCAUACAUGCAAGUCGAGCGAAGCGGGGACGGGUGAGUAACACGUGGAUAACCUCCUAUAAGACUGGGAUAACUUAGGGAAAACGGAGCUAAAACGGAUACUUAGAGCUUGAUCCGCGAUGUAUUAGGUAGUUGGUAAGGUAACGGCUUACCAAGGCAACGAUUCAUAGCAGACCUGAGAGGGUGAUCGGCCACACUGGAACUGAGACACGGUCCAGACUACUACGGGAGGCAGCAGUAGGGAAUCUUCCGCAAUGGGCGAAAGCCUGACGGAGCAACGCCGCGUGAGUGAUGAAGGUCUUCGGAUCGUAAAACUCUGUUAUUAGGGAAGCGGUACCUAUUCAGAAAGCCACGGCUAACUACGUGCCAGCAGCCGCGGUAAUUC
rnacentral:rRNA from 1 species